UUUAAAUGUUCACAGGUUACGAAUUAUUGCUUCUUCUUUCGAUAAAUUUCUUCUGUUAUUCGUCAUUUUUUAACUCUUUCGUACGUUUUUAUUCAUUCCUAACAAGAAACGUGACCUACCAUUGAUAGUCCAUAGUAAACAAUUAGUUCAGGACGUAAAGAGUAAACACGUGUGGAAUGUGUACAUAAACUGUCGGUAGCAUCAUAUUUCAUUCUCAGUCUCUACAUAUUAUAACAUUUUAAUAUACAUCUUAUUCUUUUGUUCAUUAUACACCUUUUUCCGCAUGCAACUUAAAUUACAGCAUGUUUCCUUUUGGAAACGUCCGUACACAAAGGAAGUUGAUACGCUAUCAAUUAAUCGAUUAUAAGAGACGGUUAUUCACUGA